AGAGUUUGAUCCUGGCUCAGAUUGAACGCUGGCGGCAUGCUUUACACAUGCAAGUCGAACGGCAGCGCGGGGCAACCUGGCGGCGAGUGGCGAACGGGUGAGUAAUAUAUCGGAACGUACCCAAGAGUGGGGGAUAACGUAGCGAAAGUUACGCUAAUACCGCAUACGAUCUAAGGAUGAAAGUGGGGGAUCGCAAGACCUCAUGCUCCUGGAGCGGCCGAUAUCUGAUUAGCUAGUUGGUAGGGUAAAGGCCUACCAAGGCUACGAUCAGUAGCUGGUCUGAGAGGACGACCAGCCACACUGGAACUGAGACACGGUCCAGACUCCUACGGGAGGCAGCAGUGGGGAAUUUUGGACAAUGGGCGCAAGCCUGAUCCAGCAAUGCCGCGUGAGUGAAGAAGGCCUUCGGGUUGUAAAGCUCUUUUGUCAGGGAAGAAACGGUUGGGGCUAAUAUCCUUUACUAAUGACGGUACCUGAAGAAUAAGCACCGGCUAACUACGUGCCAGCAGCCGCGGUAAUACGUAGGGUGCAAGCGUUAAUCGGAAUUACUGGGCGUAAAGCGUGCGCAGGCGGUUUUGUAAGUCUGAUGUGAAAUCCCCGGGCUCAACCUGGGAAUUGCAUUGGAGACUGCAAGGCUAGAAUCUGGCAGAGGGGGGUAGAAUUCCACGUGUAGCAGUGAAAUGCGUAGAGAUGUGGAGGAACACCGAUGGCGAAGGCAGCCCCCUGGGUCAAGAUUGACGCUCAUGCACGAAAGCGUGGGGAGCAAACAGGAUUAGAUACCCUGGUAGUCCACGCCCUAAACGAUGUCUACUAGUUGUCGGGUUUUAAUUAACUUGGUAACGCAGCUAACGCGUGAAGUAGACCGCCUGGGGAGUACGGUCGCAAGAUUAAAACUCAAAGGAAUUGACGGGGACCCGCACAAGCGGUGGAUGAUGUGGAUUAAUUCGAUGCAACGCGAAAAACCUUACCUACCCUUGACAUGUACGGAAGCCACGAGAGAUCGAGGUGUGCUCGAAAGAGAACCGUAACACAGGUGCUGCAUGGCUGUCGUCAGCUCGUGUCGUGAGAUGUUGGGUUAAGUCCCGCAACGAGCGCAACCCUUGUCAUUAGUUGCUACGAAAGAGCACUCUAAUGAGACUGCCGGUGACAAACCGGAGGAAGGUGGGGAUGACGUCAAGUCCUCAUGGCCCUUAUGGGUAGGGCUUCACACGUCAUACAAUGGUACAUACAGAGGGCCGCCAACCCGCGAGGGGGAGCUAAUCCCAGAAAGUGUAUCGUAGUCCGGAUUGUAGUCUGCAACUCGACUACAUGAAGUUGGAAUCGCUAGUAAUCGCGGAUCAGCAUGUCGCGGUGAAUACGUUCCCGGGUCUUGUACACACCGCCCGUCACACCAUGGGAGCGGGUUUUACCAGAAGUAGGUAGCUUAACCGCAAGGAGGGCGCUUACCACGGUAGGAUUCGUGACUGGGGUGAAGUCGUAACAAGGUAGCCGUA
rnacentral:rRNA from 1 species